UGUGCGGAUUAAGAACCCACUGUUUCUUUCCAUUUGACUCGCACUUGUGUGAUGAGUCCCCAUGACACUCCUGGGUAUGCUGAGACCUUAGCGUCAUGUGACUUCUCCCUGCACGUGUGCCUGUGUGCUCCAGCCCCACCUCUGUCUCACGCUGGUUUUUGUCUAGACCUGCACUGUUGAGCACUGUAAGUGAACAGAUUGAUCCCCCUUCAUUUUGUUUGUCCCUUUAUGGUUCUGUCCCAUCCAUUGUCAUAAGCAGGGUCUUCCUAGAGGACUCUGCCCCUCUUAUGGUUCAGCCUGGAGUUGGAAUUACCACUGGGUUAGGUUGUGGCUUCUUAAGGAAUUGAGACCUGACACUUUGAAGUCCCCAUGAUGGUUGAGUCAGUGACUGGGGGUAGCCUUCCAUCAAUUUCAGAUCGGAAAUUUCAGUAUAGGAAAUUGUUGGGAGGCUGGGGGUUGGGAGGUGGGGCAUGUGUGAGGAGGAAGUCCCCGGUCUCAGACUUACUUCCUGCUUGUUCCUAGUCCCUGCAGAACAACUGAUUUGUUGUAAGCUCAGAACUCAAGCUCCACCCUGCUAGAGGAGAGUGGUCAGUUUCCUUCCUUCCUCCCUGCACCCAAGGUUCAGUUAAAUCCCAUCAUGCUACCUCAGCAGACUCCCCAGGUCACUCCUCCCACCUCCAGGAUCUUGCUGGUCUUUGCAUCAUCUUUAGAUGAGUCUUUCUGAAACAACCUUGGCCUUGUAUCCCCCACACGUGUGUUUUCUCUCACCAGUCCCAUAGACUGUAAGCCCCUGUGGCAGGGUCUAUGAGUGAGUCGCCUGUGUUAACCUUCAGUGGUACCUACCAAUAAAUAUUCUUGGCUGAAUAAAUGA
rnacentral:lncRNA from 1 species